rnacentral:lncRNA from 1 species
CCACACCCUAAAAACUCCAAACAUCAAGAAUAUGAGACAAUCGACAAUGAAAACUCUAAAUAUCCAAAGAGAAAAAACAGAGAAUUGAAGAGAGAGUUAGAGACCUAGAUAGGUUGAUUGACUUGAGAGAGGUGAUCAGAGGAGAGGUGAGGCAAGAGGCCAAGCAGUGCGGAGAGAGCCAUCUCCGAAAAGCCGCCCCCAUUUUAUUCAAAAAAUGGAUUCGGUUAAGCUCUGGAACCCCCACCACCACCACCACCAUCACUACACCACCGUCGCCUCGGUACUCAGAUGCAGACUAUAAUUAAAUUUUCGAAGAUGAUGACUCUAUGAUUGAGUACUAAAUGUUUGCAUGCAGUGAAAAAACUAACUUGUUUAUUUAAAAUAGAAUAGUAUUAACGGUUAUUAAUUUAUAAUAAAAUAAAUCAACUAUACUUUUAUAAGGAUAUACACUAAUAUCUGUAUUUUUAUAAUAUUUAUAUAAAUAGAAUUUAUGAUUUUACUAUAAUAUUAUUAUUCAUAUUUUAUUAAAAUUAUUUUAUUUUUUUAAUUUAUUUAUAAUUAUAAAAUUAUUUUUAUUUGUAAUAAGACUUUAAUUAAAAUUAGUUUGUAUUAUAUAAUUGAAUUAAAAAAAAAAAUAUUUGACAAAACAACUUAUUUCAACAAGUUUUUUAUUUUUGAUUUUUUUUUAAAUAUAGAGAAUUAAAAUACCUUUUGUAAAAGAUUAAUUGAAAUCCCACUAAAUUUAUCAUAAACAAAUAUUAUUAAUUAAUUUAUUUUGUAUUUAUUUGUUAUAAUUUAAUAUUUAUUUUAAAGUAGAUAAAAAAAUUUGUGAUUUUUUAAAACAUUAUAAUUCAUAGUUAAAAAUUUUCAAAUAUUAAUAUUCAUUUUUAAUUAAAAAUUAUAGUUCAAAUGUUUGUCUAAAAAUUAACAAUUUCACAAAAUUUUAGUAAAAUAUAAAAAAUAGAUAAAAAUAUUUAAAUGAUUUUUCAAUAGCAUGACAUUGUCAAAUAAUUUAAGUUUUUGCAGUUCAUUUGUUUUGUAUCAUUGUUUUUAUCUUUUAUCUAAUAUUAUUAUUGGCAAAAUGAAUUUAUAUUAAAAGAACUAGUUGAUGAGAAUUUACAACAUUUAUAAUUUAUAUUACCAAAUUUCAAUAUUAAUAUCUAAAUUUUAUAAAUUUUACAAAAAGAAAAAUUUAAUAAUAUAUAUGAAAUUAUUUAUUAAAACAAUUACUAUUCAUUUAUUUCUUAUAAGUUAAUAUUUGUUUUCAAGUAGAUGAUUUUUUUUUUUUGUGAAUUUUUAAAAUAUUAUAGUUCGUAGUUAAAUUUUUUGAAAUAUUAAUAUUCAUUUCUAAAAUUGUUCAAAUGUUUAUCUGAAAUAAAACAAUUAGUGAAAGAAAAAUUAUUUUUAAAAAAUAAUUAGCUAUUUUCUCUUAGACAAUUAAGUAAAAAACAAAAGGUCUAGCUUUGAUACCAAUUAUGAAAAAAAGCUAUUUUGAUUUAGAUAAUCAUUCAAGAGUGGGGUGAAUUAGGUAUUGAAACUAUUUUAAAAAAUAAUCAACUUAAGCAAGUUAUGUAAAGGAUAAGAAUGAAUAGAGAGUAAUAUUAAGAAAUUAAGGGAAUAAUAUUGCAAAUUGUUUUAUAAUGGUUUGAGAAGCUGCCUAUAUCCACUCUCCUCAAGCUGGUUACACUUAAGUAGUGUUUGUUUUUUUGGCUUUUUGCUGAAAGCAACUUAUUUUCAGAAGUUAGGUCGUUUGUUUUUAUACUUAGGUGCCCAUUUUUGGGAUUUGACUUGAUCCUGGUAACCUGUGGUUUUAGAGAAAUUCCUUGAUUACUCUUCUUUUGUUUCUAGACACCAAUCCUCUGCGUUCUGACUGAUGAUCUUCAUUCAAAUAUUUUGACAGUCAAUGAGCACCCUUACAACUCCUGUUAAGCCUCAAUCCUGGUGAUCCUCCGGAUUCAAUUUAGCAGGUUUGUACGUCCUGCUUAAAGUACACCUUACACUUGAACCUUAUGUGGGAGAGACAAUCCUCACUGUGCUUGACAAGCUUGACAUUCCUAGGGGCCAAUACAGAUUCAAUAUCUUCUCCUUACAAAAACAAGGACUUGCUAGAUUUCAGCCAAAAUGACUCAAGUUGGGCCCUGAAGCCCUUUGAAACACCCUUUCAGGUGGUUAAGAAAGCAAAAGGUGUUUGGUCUGUUAAGCUGACAAGUUUUCUAGAAAAACCAAGUAAUAGAACUUUCUAGGAUUUUUCAUUUGCUUCUUCAACACUGUCUUUGACUGUUGAUAAAUUCCUGCAGUCAUGACUGUAAUCGCAAGUUGUUAUUAGUCUGGCAAUUUGUUCUAUAUUCCCUAGUUGAAAUUCAAUUGCCCAUUUUUGGGAUUUGACUUGAUCCUGGUAACCUGUGGUUUUAGAGGAAUAAUUUAUAUUUCAUAAUGUAUCUCUAGGAAAUGAUGCGGUCAAGUUCCUAGAUCCAGAUUCAUACAACAAGACUGGGGGUUCUGCUUCUGCUCAAACUCAGUCAAUGGAGCCUCUUGAGUCGAAAAACAAUNUUAGACNNNNNNNNNNNNNNNNNNNNNNNNNNNNNNNNNNNNNNNNNNNNNNNNNNNNNNNNNNNNNNNNNNNNNNNNNNNNNNNNNNNNNNNNNNNNNNNNNNNNNNNNNNNNNNNNNNNNNNNNNNNNNNNNNNNNNNNNNNNNNNNNNNNNNNNNNNNNNNNNNNNNNNNNNNNNNNNNNNNNNNNNNNNNNNNNNNNNNNNNNNNNNNNNNNNNNNNNNNNNNNNNNNNNNNNNNNNNNNNNNNNNNNNNNNNNNNNNNNNNNNNNNNNNNNNNNNNNNNNNNNNNNNNNNNNNNNNNNNNNNNNNNNNNNNNCGAGCCAUGCUAAAAUUCUAGGCCUGCGGCCCGGCCUAUGAGCCCGCGGGCUGGGCCGCGGGCCUUUUUAAAUAAGCCAAAAUGGAAGGGAAGGGAGAGGGGGGGAUUUGAACCCCUCCCCUCAUGCUUAAAUUUCAAGGCUCUAACCAACUAAGCUACAUUCCUUUUAUGCUUAUUAAUUGAGUUAGUUAUAUAUAUAUAUAUAUAUAUAAAUAAAGUAUAUUAUUUUUUUAAAAAAAAUUAAAGGCUCCAACCCAUGUGGGUCAUGUGACCGUUGGAGCUAAGCCUCCAACGGUCACAUGGGCAAUUUUUUUUUUUUUUUUAAAAAAGCCUUCCUAUAAAUACAUUUUCUUCCUUUUCAUUUUUUCAUCAAAUUCUCUCCAUUUCUCUCACAUUCUACAAUAUUUCAAAUUCUUUUAUUUUUCCCUCAAAUUAUACAAUAUUGUUGGAGGUGCAAAACAAGCAUUGGUGGCUCCAAGAGUUCAAAUUUGCUAGGAAUUUCUGCAUCGGUUCUCUAAUUGAGUAACAUACUUCACCCCUACUACUUUAUUUUUUUGUUACAUUUUUUUUAUAUUUAUUACUUUAUUAUUUUUGGCAUAAUAUUUUAUCAAUAAUUAUAAUAUGACAAGUGCUUCUUCAUCUAGUCCAUGUGAUGAAAUAUCAUCAAACAAAAAAUUUACUUCAAAUAUAUGGAAUUUUUUUGAUAGAAUAGAAAUAAUUUUAGAAAAUAAUAAAAAAAAAAUAAAAGCAAAAUGUAAAAUUUGUAAUAAAUUUCUUACUGGUGGCUCAAAUGCAGGCACAAGUCAUUUAAAAAGACAUCAUGAAAAUUGUAAAACUAAAAAUAAUGUAGAUAUUAGAAAUUAUAUGCAAUUAGGUAAAAAUGAAAGUGGAAAUUUAAAAACAUUUUCUUAUGAUGAAUCUAACUGUCGUGAAGAAAUGGUUGAUUAUAUAAUAAGAGCAGAACAACCUUUCAACAUGAUAGAAACUCAUGAUUUUGCAGGAACAAUUCAACGAGGUAUUAAUCCUCAAUUUAAAGGUUGGUCUGGAAAUACAGUUAAAAGAGAUAUUAUGAAAAAAUUUUAUACACAAAAAGAAAUUUUAAAAUUUUUUUUUGCAAAUUUUGAAGGAAAUAUUUGUUUAACAUCUGAUAUUUGGACAUCUUUAACUCACACUGGUUUUUUAUGUAUAACUGCUCACUACAUUGAUAAUGAAUGGAAAUUAAAUAAAAGAAUAAUUUCAUUUAAAUUAAUAAAUGCUAUACAUAGUGGUAAAAAUAUAGCAUCUUUAAUAAAUAAUAAAUUAUAGAUUUAGGCAUUUGUGAUAAAAUAUUGACAAUAACAUUAGAUAAUGCUGCUAAUAAUGAUGCAGCAAUACAUAGACUAAAAUGAUAUUGGCAAGUAAAAGAAGAUCAUGCUAAAAUAUUUCAUGUGCGUUGUUGUGCACAUAUUUUAAAUUUAAUUGUGAAGGAUGAAUUAAAAAAUGUUGAUAGUACAUUGGAAAAAUUUAGAGGCAUUGCAUAUAGUAUUAAUAGUUCUCAAGCAAAACAUGAAUUAUUUUUUGAUUGUUGCAAAAUGUUAAAUAUGAAAAGAAAAAAUAUAAAUUUGGAUAUGGCCAUUAGAUGGAAUUCCACAUAUAAACUUUUACAAAAUAUUACAAAAUAUAAAAAAGUAGUCGAAUUAUAUGAAAUACAAUUAAUUAACAAUGAUUGUGAAGCAGAUAUUUAUGCAUUAAAUGAUUAUGAUUGGCAUAUUGCGGAUCUUUUAAGAGAUCUUUUUGAAAUUUUUGAUACUUCAACAAACAUUUUUUGUGGUGUAUAUUAUCCAACUUCAAAUCGAGUUAUUAUGCAAAUAACUAAUAUUUUUAUUGUACUUCAAAAAUAUUUAAGUUUUGAAAUGUUUAAUGAUACAAUAUUUGCAAUGAUAGAAAAAUUUAGAAAAUAUUGGGGAGAAAUACCUUUAAUUUUUUAUAUUGCUUUAAUUGUGGACCCUAGAUUGAAAUUUGAAGCUUUGGAUGAAUGGUUAACAAUUAUUUAUUUUAAUGACCAAAUAAAAAUUGAAGAAAUUAAAAAUGAAAUAAAUUCAUUAUUAUAUAAUUUAUAUAACUAUUAUAAAGAAAAAUAUGGUAAUGAUACUAAUACUAUUAAAUUACCACAUACAUCUACAAACUCCUCAUCUUUUUAUAAAGGAGCUCUAGAAAUGUUGAAAAGUCAAAAAAAGACAACAAAUAGUUCUCCAAAUAAUACAUUUGAUUUAGAUAAAUAUCUUAAUACUGAUAUAAUUUCAUUUGAAGAUCAAGAAGAUUUUGAUAUUUUAAUAUGGUGGAAAUCACAUCAACACAAAUAUCCUGUGCUUUCUAUAAUUGCUCGUGAUGUACUAACAGUUCCUGUGAGUACAGUUGCAUCAGAAGCUGCUUUUAGUGCAGGUGGAAGAGUAGUUAGUAAAAAACGAUGCAACUUAGCGCCAGAUGUUAUUGAAGCAGGGAUAUGUGUGAAAUAUUGGAAAAUAGCAGAUAAAAAGAUGUAUGAUUCAAUUCGAGAAACAGAGAUGCUUGCCGAUAUGGAAUCUUUAAAAUUAUCAAGAUCUUCAUGGAUGCAUGAUAGUUCGCCAUCAUCGCCAGAAAAUAAUGACUAAAUGUAUAUUAUAUUUUUAUUUUUAUUUUUUGUGGUUGAAAAAUACAGAUGAUUGACAAAUAAAUAGGUGCCAACCUAGUUGGGAUGUAUUUAUUUUGUAGUGAUGUAAACUUUUCCCACAUUUUUAAAUGUAAUUAUACAUUCAAUGAAUAAAAUUUUGAAAUGAAUAUUUUUUUUAAUACUUUUUAUUUUUGUAGUUUUUUUUUUAAAGGGGCGGGUCGGCCCGCCGGGCCUAAAUUUAGGCCUGCGGCCCGGCCCGCCCAUAAACGGGCUCGGGCCGAGCUUGGGCCCGGCGGGCUUGGGCCGGGCUUUAGUCUGUCGGGCCGGGCCGGGCCUAAAGAGGGCCGUGGGCCGCGGGCCUUUUGGAGACCCUUAGGUUAUACCAAUAAAUAAGUAUUAGCUCAAAAGUGAUGCAAAUUGUGGGUAUGUUGUUUAAGAAUAUAUACAUUUUCUUUUUUAUUUUCAUCCUUUAAGGCUAUGAUAUAUUUAGAGUCCAUUUGGUAGUGAUUCUAUAAAGCGCUUUUAAUAUUUGAAAUUGAAAAUUUUUGCUAAUUAUUUUAAAUAUUUUUUUUGGAGCUAUUAUUAAUUUUAAAAUAACUCUAUUAUUUCUAUUUUAUGUAGAAUUAUUAUUUUCUAUUUUUUUAACCUAGCAAAUAAGUUUCAAAUUAAAUGAGGCUUAAUGUGUUAGAUUCAUUAACAAGUUUAUUAAUUUUUGAAAAUAAUUUGAAACUCAAAUAAUAAACUCAUUAAUACUAGAAAUUUAUGGAUAAAUUUUUUUUCAUAAUGACUAUUAUUUUUUUCUACACAUAAUUAUAUUUUAAUAAAAUUUCUCACUAUAAAAAUGAACUUCAAAUUGACACUUUGUAUUAAAUUUAUUAAUAUGUUAAACAAUUUUCAAAAAUAAUUUGGAACUAAAAAAAUAAGUACAAUCAUAAAAAAAAAACAAUAGAUUAAAACUAAUAUAUUAUGAAUCAUAACUUUACUGUUUCUUCUAUAUAUACAAAUAUAUUUUUUGAAUUUAGGUAAAUAAAUUAUAAUUUGAGUAAGACAAAUUAAUAAUUUAAGUUCUUUAAUGAAUUUUUAAAUUUUUAAGAAUAAUCUUGAAUUCAUAAUUGCCCUCCUCCUAUGAGAAUGGCAUAUUGCCCACCAGUACACAAAAUAAAACCGAUGGAAGUAGGUAGAAAAUUAUUUAGGAAGAACCACUCAGAUUAUGCAGUAUGGUAAUGUACAUCAAUAAGUUGGAUAAUCAGCUAUAAAGUUGUAAUUUCCAUAAUGUUAUAAUGAUCUUCUACAGAGUAUCUGAAAAUAAGUUGAUGCUGAAACUUGUCAUAUUUUCAUAUGCCUUUCAAAGAUGGAUCCCUUUAGUUAGUCAAUAAUUGAUACUGGUCAAUUUCAAGUAUGCUUAACUGUUAUUCCUAAUUCUUUGUGAUGAAUCAAUCCUCACUAGUGAAAUGAUUAUGUAUCUGAAGUUUGAGACAACAACACAUUAGCAUCAAUAAAUUCUUGGAUGUAUGAUGGAGUUGUGAGUUUUCACAAUGGCCUACUGCUUCAUCUAUUACAUAAUGGUUUUUCUUUCACUUGGUUAAAUGUUUGUGUGAUUAUUUUUGGCUUAUUGGUUGGUCAAUCAAAUAUUGAACCCUUUUAAGUUGGUUCCUACAUCUAAAACUAAAUUGUUCAUGAAGUUUCUGAUUGCCUCAUCCUGUCUUUUCCAUUUAUGCAUGUAGGUACAAUGAAUUUGAUCAACCUGUCUGUAGGGUCUGUGAUGUCAUUUUGAAAUCUGAAUCCCUAUGGGAUGCACACCAAGCUUCUCGUAAACAUCAUGAGGUGAUGCUUACUGUCCUAGUUAUGUUAUGAAUAAAGCUAUUGACAAAUUGCAUUCAGAGGUUCUAUAGCAUGUACAAUCACACACGACACAAAAGAUUAUUGUAAUUUCAUUCCUUUAUGAUAGAUAAAUUCUAAAAUAAGAAUGCAGUGAAAUCAUGUAUGAAGAUAUCUACAGAUUGUCACACUCAAGAGUCGAUACAGUAGAAGAAAAACAUUUGUCUUUGUAUUUACAGAUUAACAUGUACAUCAAAAUGCAAUGAAUAUUGUCUAUCAAAAAAAAAAAAAAAAAAUACAAUGAACACAUGUAUUUGUGUAUCUAUUUAUACAUGCUAUUGAUUAUUUGCAUGUCAAAAUCAGGUUGUUUGAUUUUAAAAGAUUCUAUAUGGAUUCAAAAGAUGUAUGUGCUAGGGUCUUAUCUUUGCUACUGAAGCUAUACUUUUAAUAUGCUUUGUUUUUUUUUUUUUUUUUGAAAUUUAAUGCACGUUUCCUCUUAUAUAUUACUUUUAUGUUUAUUAUCUAUACAUAAUUAACAAUUCAUGAUGAUAUCAUCGAUCAUUAUUUUCCUGUGUUUCAUAUUGUAUCCUAAGUGGAAAUAUCAUUGAAAUCCUUCUAUACUUGUGUAAAAAAUAAACAGCUGUCAUGCAUAGAUUAUCGCAUAGUGUAUAAUUAUAAUUUUGUUUUUAAACAAAACAAACAAAAUAGGGUCUGCAACCCUACUCAGCAGCUGCCCAGUUGACAGCUCCAAUCUGGCUCUAUGCACCUAAAGAUUAUUUUGUACUUAAAAGGAACAAUUUAAAAAAAACACAAAAAGAAGAAAAUAUUUUUAAUCUGUCGUUGGAUGAAACAGGGUGAAUGAGCCCUAUCAGGGUAUAAGGUUUUUUUUUUUUUUUUUCAGUUUUUUUUUUUUAUCAUAAACAAUAAUUCGUUGAUAAGGAUUUGAAAGUACAUUUGAAGGAUGAGAAUUCCUUCCUGAAAAUAAAAAUUUUGAUUAAACAUAAACAAAUGGAUGAUUUCCCAAAAUGCAAAACGAGACCUCAAUAUAUUGCCAAAAGAAACCAUAGAAAGGAAAGACUAUCUCUAUGGGCUGAAGCUUUGCUCUAAGCUUAACUAUUUUGACUUUUAUGAUUCACACACCAAAUUCUAAUUGAGCUAGAGUCCCCUUGAAAGCUGUAGUUGUUGGGCCUCAAAAAGAGGAAUAGAGAUAAAUUAGGUUCCAUAUAGAUUUUGUAGUUCUCCACUUAUCCUAAAAAAUCUUUACAUUUCUUGUCUUCCAAUUUGCCAAAAUUUUUUGCCUCUAGAAUAAAGUGCUCCUCAAACCUCUAAAGGAUAUCGUCAUCAUGUCACCUAUGCUCCUAGGAGGAAUCCUAUUAAGUCUUAAAAGCUUGUUCCAUAGCCCCAAAGUCCUAGGGCAGUGUAAAAAGAGCCUGUGCCAUACCCUAUGCCUUGCAGUGUAUAAGUUGUGGGCUUAUAGUUAGCAAUUUGAUGUUUUUUCUUAGAAAAAAACUGAAUGCCACAAUUAUGGAGCUUCUUCAACCCAUAGGAAUUUUCUUUUAUCUUUGUCAAGCUUCUUCAACCCUUUUUCUUUUGAAACCUGCCCCUUCUUUUGAGCCCCACAGCAAUGCUGGCAAGAUUGCACAUUCAGAUUCUUCAUCAAACCCUUUAUAAAAAAAAAAAAAAAUAAGGAAAGAGAAAAUGGAAAAUGAUCUGCAUCUUUUUGAUCUGAUGUCUCGCAAAGUGUAAAGAACCCAUGCCUAGAGAAAAGAAAAAACAGCAAAACCAGCCCCAAAAAGGUUGUAAACAAGUCACCUAUUUGCAAAGAACUCGUGACUUGCAUCUUUUGUGCAACUCCUAAUGCACCUAAGUCACGUACAAUGUAAAAAAAUGCAGUCUAGAGUGCUUACAAGGUAUAAUGCAUGAAAAUAGGAUAAAUAAAAGUGAACUGAAACUUUAUUAAAUAAAUAAUAAAAAUCCACAUGUUUAUUACACCAUGUCAUGCUUUUAAGGGCUUUAUCCUAACAAUUGAGUCAUUCUUUCUUUAUCUACAUUUCAAAAUUCUUUCUUUUAGGAAUCCUUCCUUGGAUAGAGUUUUUUCCCUUUGUUUUUCUCAAACUUGAUUAACUUCUUAAAACUUUCUUGUGAUGGGUACAAGGUCCUCAUCUUCUUCACUAGCUUUUUCUUCUUCAUCAUCAAUGGUGGAGGCUUUAAGAGCAAUAUUUUUCUUCUUCUAAUCUUUCACUUCUUGAUGACUCUUCAUGAGUCAUCAAGGAUCCAAUCAAUUCCUCCAAAGGAAGUUUUGUAAGGUCCUUAGCUUAUUGGAUAGUCAUAACUUUGGCUUCUCAUUUCUUACAAAGAAAUCUUAGAAUCUUCAUGACCUCCUCUAAUUCCUUGUAAACCUUUCCCAAAGCUUGGAAUCCAUUAAUGAUGUCAGCAAACAUCUCAACAAUAGUUUAUUAUCUUUCGUAGAAAUAACUCAUAAUUAAGCACAAGAAUAUUGAUUUUAGAGUCUUUAACUUGAUUUGUCUCUUCAUAAGUUAUUUCUUAAAAUCUCCAAAUAUCAUAAGUGGAUUCACAUUGGCAAACCUAGUUAUAUUUAUUUCCUAUCAAUUGUACAAUGUAAACAUUAAUAGAUAUCUUUAGCAUUUAAAUGAGCUUUUCUUUUGUUAAACUCAUCCCACUUUUAGCUAGGUUUAGGUAUAACAACUUCAUUCUCAAUUUGGUUUAGAAUAUGGGGACCAUUUUGGAUGAAAAAGAUCAUAAUCAAUGGAUUUAAAAAUAAUGUCGUCCUAGUUUCCCAAUAGAAGUAAUUGAUUCCCAAAAAGAACAAAUAUAUAUUAAUCGAAAACCCUUCCAUAUAAGAUGAGUUGGAAGAAUUAGGUAUUUUCUCUUAGACAAUUAAGUAAAAAAACAAAAGGUCUAGCUUUGAUACCAAUUGUGAAAAAAAGCUAUUUUGAUUUAGAUAAUCAUUCAAGAGUGAGGCGAAUUAGGUAUUGAAACUAUUUUAAAAAAUAAUCAACUUAAGCAAGUUAUGUAAAGGAUAAGAAUGAAUAGAGAGUAAUAUUAAGAAAUUAAGGGAAUAAUAUUGCAAACUCUUUUAUAAUGGUUUGGGAAGCUGCCUAUAUUCAUUCUCCUCAAGCUGCUAAUAGGGUGAAGGUUACACUUAGAUUCCAAGGUUCCAAUAGACCUUUACAAACUCUUCAAGUAAAAUGCCUACUUGAAUACUUCUCUCACAAUAUUAAAUUUUGAAGCUGUAUCCGUAUAGAGGCCAAGGUGUUUUAUGUGUCAGGCUUUUGUUAAUAUACUGCACUGGAAGCUUAAGUGAAAGCUCUUGAGUCAUUUAAUGUUGGGCUCUAAGGUUUAUAUUUGAUAUAUCUCAUAGGAUAGUUCUCAUUUCAGUUACUAUUGGCCAGGUGAAAUUUCCAAUACACAGCUGCUAUUUUAUGGUUCCUAGGUGUAAACUAGUAACGCUUUCAACUUUCUUGUGACUUAUGGAAUGCUGAGUAGAUUGAUGCAAAUUUGAGUGUAUUCAAGAAAAUAAAGAUUUUUGUACAUGGAAUAGUAUAAUCUGUUCAAAAAGGGAAAAAAAAAUACUGCAGUAAUUUUGAAUGUAUGAUAUGAAUGCAACCUAUUACCGAUUCUGAGCAUAUAUUCUAGAGUCCCACCUACCUGAUGCCCAAUAAGCCGGAAGAGUUGCUAAGUCCUUGUUUCUAGCUGUCCACAUACUUCAUGCAAAUCCCCUAUCAUAUUCUUCUUUCUUAGUUUCUUGGGGCAUCUCUAUGUCUGGAGAUUCAUUGCAGAGAAAUUCCUUGAUUACUCUUCUUUUGUUUCUAGACACCAAUCCUCUGCGUUCUGACUGAUGAUCUUCAUUCAAAUAUUUUGACAGUCAAUGAGCACCCUUACAACUCCUGUUAAGCCUCAAUCCUGGUGAUCCUCCGGAUUCAAUUUAGCAGGUUUGUACGUCCUGCUUAAAGUACACCUUACACUUGAACCUUAUGUGGGAGAGACAAUCCUCACUGUGCUUGACAAGCUUGACAUUCCUAGGGGCCAAUACAGAUUCAAUAUCUUCUCCUUACAAAAACAAGGACUUGCUAGAUUUCAGCCAAAAUGACUCAAGUUGGGCCCUGAAGCCCUUUGAAACACCCUUUCAGGUGGUUAAGAAAGCAAAAGGUGUUUGGUCUGUUAAGCUGACAAGUUUUCUAGAAAAACCAAGUAAUAGAACUUUCUAGGAUUUUUCAUUUGCUUCUUCAACACUGUCUUUGACUGUUGAUAAAUUCCUGCAGUCAUGACUGUAAUCGCAAGUUGUUAUUAGUCUGGCAAUUUGUUCUAUAUUCCCUAGUUGAAAUUCAAUUGCCCAUUUUUGGGAUUUGACUUGAUCCUGGUAACCUGUGGUUUUAGAGGAAUAAUUUAUAUUUCAUAAUGUAUCUCUAGGAAAUGAUGCGGUCAAGUUCCUAGAUCCAGAUUCAUACAACAAGACUGGGGGUUCUGCUUCUGCUCAAACUCAGUCAAUGGAGCCUCUUGAGUCGAAAAACAAUUUAGACAGAUUGUCCAGUUCUCACUCUGAAAAGAUGGGAAAAAGUGGAAUUCAUCAUGCCAGGGACCUUACCCAGACAUCAGGAAAGAUUGUUGGUUCAGAAACCAAGGAAGUAAAGGGUGCUCUUCCUGAAGGCUUCUUUGACAACAAGGAUGCUGACCUUCGUGCACGUGGUAUUGUGCCUGUUAAGCCGGAUGUCAAGUAAGUUCUUGCUUCUGUUAUAUAAAUUUAUUUCUUUAAAAUGUCACUAUCAUCUGACAGGGAGUGUAAUAGAUUCUCUGGAAUAGUAUUCCCUUUCUUUGAUUCUUUUAUGUCCUCUAGUACUGUUUCUUUUCUAUCAAAUUAGAGAAACAAGGUCUGAGAGGGUCUCAAAAGUGUGUAAAGAAAAUUUGAGAUUAUAUCUUGUUUGAAGAAUUAUUUUUCAGCACUCACUGGUCCAUCAUUGUCAUUUUUGAAGCUUUGUCAUCUUUUCAUCAUCGUUGUUAUCAUCAUCGUGAUUAUCAUCUUCUAAUUUUUAACCUAAAAACAAAGCAAAUACACAGGUCCUAGGUUGUGCUUAGAAGCUUUAUUUUGGGCAAUUUUAAUUGGUGGAUAAAUUUCAUGAGUCCUUUUUGGAUGCUUGUGGUAGGGUUUGAGUGGGAAAUCUUUAACCUUCUCUUUGAUAAAAAUAUCAUUGGGAAAAAAAAUAGGACUCUGCCUAGUACUCACAGGUGUAUGUGAAUCCUGUACAUCACAACUGUAGUGUAGUGAAAUAAAUCUUGGUAUAAUUUAGCAGGGGAGGGUGUUAGAGAGGACUGGCUGUGUUAAAAACCUUAGUGAGCCUCAGUGGAGGUUUCUCUGAUUCGUGGGGAAGUUUAUUUUUGAUAGCGUAGGGACCUUUUAACCCUACAGCAUAAUGGCAUGUGUUUCAUUGGGUACUUGAGAUGAUCAGAAAUUACCAUGUAUGAUUGCAUUACUUGGAACACUGAAUUAACCUUGUUAAGAAAUGUUAAAUCCUGGUCAGGGACGAGUACAAAGAAUUUGAAAAGUUGAUACAGGAGGAUUUGAAGGAGGUGGACAACCGUUUGGAAGAAGAAGAGGUCAGGAUCAUUUAUUCCUUGCACCAUUCCUAGAACCCAAUAAUGUAGUCUCUGGUGAUGUUUACUAAAGAUUGGAGUUAUAUCAUUAACUUGGUUUUGCAAUUUUAUGAUGUAGUUUGAUGCAGCUGAGAUGAUUGAAGAGGCCGAGUCUGUGGAGCAAAAGUAAGUCAAGUGUGGUCACGAGUAGUGUAUCACUUGGGUUCUCCUAUAUUUCCAAUGUUUUUGAGUUGGCCUUUUGUUUAGGGUGUAUUGGGAGAAAGUGGAAAUGCUGAAGAAGAAGAAAUUGGAGCUGAAGGCGGCUAGAUCCGGCAGACAGAGUAAACAGCCUGAGGUCAGAGGCAAGGGGCAUAGCUCUAAAGAGGAUUCAUCCAGUGAUGAUGAUAGUGAUGGGAAAUUCAUGGUUGAUUGGAGAGCACAACACCUGUGAAUACUUCUGUUUGAAAUUUUCUAUGUCGCCUGUGCAGACAUGUCUAUGUUGGCAUGCAAACACCUGAUUACGUUUGCUGGAGUUUGGUGCUUGCUGCUUCUUUCAUUCUGAGCCAUUCUCCAGAUUUUGGUUCAACUGGCUGCUGAUUGAAAGGGAUGGGGAGUGAGGCGAGGUGAGAGUAAGCCCUGGUCCAAGAUCUGGGUUUUGGUUGAAACUUGAAUGGUGUAUCCCGAAUUCCGAUACUAAGAUUUAGGGUUUAAUGAAGACAAAUGGGUUAGGAAAGGAAUCAGUUUUAUGCUCUUAUUGUUUAUUUGGAAAUUUUGAGUUCUUUCCCGGUGUUGCUGGUUAUUAUCUGAAACACCUGCGCUACUUAACACUUAUCUUUUCACUACCUUCAAUUAUAUGGUGUAAUCGCACAACUGAAAUGCAAAAUUUUCUGGUGGGAUUAUCUCGUGAUUUCAGAAUCAUAAUUAAUUAAUAUUAUUAUUAUUAUUAUUAGGGGGUGGCCAUUUGGUGGUAAUAGUGGGCAAGUUACAGUCAGUUUCGUCGUGGGUUUAAAAAGUAGUUUUUCUUUUUCAAAAAUAAAAAUUAUUUGUUUCUAAUUUUUAAAAAUAAAGUGAAAUAAAGAGUAAGAGCCUGUUUGGCUGCGUGAUUUAAAAAUAUAUAUAUUUUUAAAUUUUUAUAAAGUAAAAAUUAUUUUUAAAAUUAUUUUUUAACUCAAAAACUGAUUUAAUUAAUAUUAAAAGUUAUGAAACUUAAUAACAUUAGUUAGUCAAAGAUCAAAAUUUAUUUUAAUUAUUUAGGUUAGUUUCUAUAUAUAUAUCAUUUUUAAAAAUUUUAUUAUUAGGUAAAUAAGUUUUAAAUUAAGCAAGAUUUAAUGCAUUAGAUUCACUAAGAGCUUAGUAAUUUUUUAAAAUAAUUUAAAACUCAAAUAGUAAAUCAAUUAAUACAAAAAACUUAUGGAUAAAAAUUGGUUUAGAAUAACUUUAUUGUUUCUCUUUCACAUAGAAUCCUUAUUUCUUGCAUUAAUGAUUAAAUUAUUAAUUUCUUUGAGUGUAUGUAUGAGCAACAUCUUACAGUGAUAGCAUAAUUUUUAACUUUAAACAAUCAAUAAUUUAAUAGGUAGUAAUACAUAUCUUUAAUAAUAGAUACAAUGAUUGUGGUAUUUCCACCAAGUUUGAAUUUAAUAUCCGUACUUGUGCAUGUGGACAUAUAAUGGUGCACGAUAUGGAGUUAGGCUAUGACUCAUUCAUUAGUGAAAAAAUUGUAAUUUUGCCAAACCUAGUUUACAUAAGCAAAUCCAUGCCACAAUCUCUAGGUGGAAGCCUAGGAGCCACGAUCCCUCUCUUUCUCUCUCUUGUUUGAUUGUCAUUUGGUAAUCUGAAAAUUUAAAAUUAGAAUUUUCUUCUAAUACUUUUUAAUCAAAAGUUUUUAGGGGGCUAUUAUUAAUUUUACUUACAAUGGGAAAAGAUAUUUGUUGUUUUUCUUUUUCAGUAGCAGUUAAAAAGGUUAUAACAUUUGAAAAUCACAAUUUAUCUUAACAAUAAAUCAAUAGAAUAAAAUUAAAAAUUAGAGUAUAAAUUAGUAGCAUACCUGAAACUAAUAUGAAGAUAUAAUAACAUAAAGUAAUUAUCAUUGAAUAAAUUAAAAGAAAAGCCAUUUCUUCUAUUACAAUAGUGAUGGAAUUCACUUCCAAAGCUUAUAGUAAAUCAUAAAGCAUAUGAAGAUCUACAAACAAAAUUUAUUGCCUUCGAGCAUGAUUUUUGGCAUAAGUCACUCUUCUUUUGAACAGUAGCCACUUGACAAUUUUGUCCACAAAAUCAAAAUAGGCAUCACACCAAGAUCUUCUUAUUGCCAAGACAAAAUAAGGAACUAAAAUGCCCAGCGCAAAUCCCAAGCCAAUGCUUAAGUAAAACCACUGAUCAAUAUAGCCACCAUCAAUUUUGUCCUCAAGAACACUUUGCCUUUUAUCUAGGUCUUCAUCCUGACAUUUUGUGACUAGUGGAGUUCCACAAAGAUUCGGGUUUCCAGUAAAGGCCAACUCUGUGAAAGUUGUCAUUUGCCCUACAAAGGGGAUCUUACCAGAGAAAUUAUUAUUUGAUAGAUUCAAAUAACCCAAGAAUGUUAACGAGGACAUGCUUGAAGGAAUGGUGCCAGAAAGCUUGUUGCUUGAUAGAUCAAGAGAGGACAACUGACACAACAUUGAAAUGCUUCCAGGAAUUUGGCCAAUGAUGUGAUUCAUGGACAAGUUUAGAAACACCAAACCAGACAAUUUUGUUAUUCCCUCAGGAAACUCUCCACUUAAAUUAUUGUCGGAUAGAUCGAUGCUAACAACAAGAGAAAGAGUCCUCGUGUAUUCAAGACUUUGGCCUUUUGUAAUCACAAUCAACCUUUCAUCAUAUCGAGAGCCAUUCCCACUGUGAUACAAAGAAUACAUAUCCAUGUUACGCUCCUGAGCCAUGGCUUUAAGCUCCACCAAAGUGACUGGAAUUUUACCAGUCAAAUUGUUUUGUGCAAGGUCUAAGACAUGUAGGGAGCUUAAAUUUGAAAGUCGGUCGGGAAGUCUUCCAAAAAAUGCAUUCGACCUCAAGUUGAGUAUUACAAGAUUUAUGAAAGCAGUUCCAAUCCAUGAUGGAACCUUACUCGAUAAUUCGUUAUAACUGAGAUCAAGGAGUUCCAAACUUGAUAAAUUUUGGAAAGAUGAGGGAAGCUCUCCUGAAAGCUUGUUGUCGUUCAGGUGUAGUGAUUGGAGCAAUUGUAACCGACCUAAUGACUUUGGUAUCAUCCCGGACAAAUUGUUAUUUCCAAGGUCCAAAACAAUUAGGCGAGAGUAAUUAUUUAUGGUAGAAGGAAUGCUUCCGGUCAAAUUAUUCCUUGAAAAAUCAAUGACUUCAAGAGAGGUGAUGUGUCCUAUGGAAUCUGGGAUGGUUCCUGUUAUUCGAUUACUCGAAAGAGAAAGGAAAUACAAGCUUGGUAGGAAUUCACCUAUGUUUGAUGGGAUGGGCCCUGUUAUUUGAUUAUGAGAAAGAAGAAGGUAUCUCAAGUCUGACAGGGAUUCACCUUUACUAAGUGGGAUAGGGCCAGAAAAUUUAUUAUGGGAGAGAUCUAGAAAUCUCACCCCUUUGAUUGAAAAAGGAAUAGGUCCUUCAAAGAGGUUGGAACUGAAAUCGAUCUGUGUGAGAAAAGGAGAAGAAAAAUUCAAUGAAUUUGGUAACUGACCUUGUAACUGAUUGUGAGAAAGACUUAAGUCCUGCAGAUUGAAAGAAAUAUUCCAAAACCAAUUUGGAAUAUGACUUGAAAUGCUAGCAUUUGAGAAAUUAAGAUAUUGGAGGUUCUUCUGAGAUUGAAGCCAAACCGGAAAUGAAGGACCCAAGUGGCAUGAACCCAUAUCAAGAUAUUUCACCUGGAAAGGGGGAACCCAAUUGGGACUAACAUUCAAAUGGAAAGAAUUGGAGUCCAUGUAUAGCUGCUCCAACUUACUUAGCUUCCAAAAAUGUUGUUCAGAGAGACUUCCACUCAUUUGAUUGGAACUAACUUGCAAGAUUUGCAAUUCUGAAAGUUGUCCAAUACUAUCUGGGAGACUUCCAUUCAGCUUAUUCAAUCCAAGAGUCAAGAACUCCAGGUGUUGCAAUGUCCAUAAAGAAACAGGAAUGAGACCUUCAAAUCUGUUACUGUUUAAAACAAGUGCCCUGAGAUUUUUAAGCUCACCCAACCAAUUUGGCAAUUUUCCCAUCAAUUGAUUGCCAUACAAGUACAACUCUGUCAAAUUAGGCAAAAGACUUUUAGAACUGCAGGUUUCAAUUCCCUCGAUAAUCUUAGGUAAACUUCCAUUCAAGUAAUUAUCACUCAAAUCCAGAUAUUUUAAGUUGCAAAAGUUUCCAAAGGAGCUUGGAAUUGGACCUGUAAUGAGCAAGAUUAAAAAAUAUGUAUUAAUUAAAUUAUGUAAUAAACAAAUAAUAAAAAUAGUAAAUAACAAAAUAAAUUAAUUCAUGAACAAUUAAUUUAAAGAAAAAGUAAGAAAAGUUAUUAUUCUUCAUGAAUUGGUGAAUAAAAAUAGUAAGAAUGGUAUUUUUUUAUCUUUUUUGAUAACCAUAAAAUAAAAUAAUUUAUUUCACUUUGUUAAAAAAGAAAAAAUAAUUUAUUUCAAUGUUAUAAGAAUAGUAGGAUUAGUCAUUGAUAUUAAUUGUUCCUUUAAAAAUAAACUAUUUUUUCUUUUUUAACAAAGUGAUAGUUCAAUGAGAGAAGAUAGAAAAUCAAAAUAUAAACCAAAGGAUUAAGAAAUCAAGUUAUCAAAAUUUAAAUUUUUAUUUUAGCGAUGAAAAUAAAGCUAGAGAAAACUAGGAAUUCAACCUAGUUUAAUAUUUUGUAACAACAACACUACAAGAAACUAGCAAAAUUAAAUAAAAAGUGAGAAACUUAUAAUAAACUAAAAUCAGUAAAAUGAUGAUGUAAAAUGGUUUAUAGUCUAACUAAAAUAUACAAAGGAUAUGCUAUGAAAUGAAAUAUCUAAAUUAAUUGAGGAGUGAGGAUGUCCUUAUAUCAAAUUGUCACUCAAAUCUAAAUAUUUUAGAGAUUUCAAUUUUAUCAAUAAAGGUCUAAUCUAAUUAAUUAAGUUUAAAAGAGACAAUAUAUCAAAGUAAAAACUCAUAUGGCAACAAUUGCUUCCCCUUUAGGAUAGUGGUUAAUAUUAACUUCUUGAUUUGGAUUUUAGUGAAUUCUCUAAGGUUGUUUUUGGAACUUCUAAUGUUUUAUUUCUAAAGAUAGAAAUUCAUAGAAACUCUAAUAUAAAUAGUAAAACUUUACCAUAAAAAAGUACUAUCUUAAAUGUUUUAAAAAACAUGAAUAUUAGAAAAAAUUUACUAUCUUAAAUCUUUUAAAUUUCAAUAACAGUAUUUAAGAACAUGAAAUGUAAUAUUAUAUUUACUUAAUGUUCAAUUUUAUGGUUUCAAUUACUUGUCUCAACCAUGAAAUGUCAUAUCUCAAUAUAUAAAUUACAAUAAUUUGACAUAAUAGAUGAAUUAUGGAGAGAAAAUAGAAAUUGAAAAUGUGCAAGAGAUGAUUGAAAGUUAUUUGAUGAUAAAGAUUCUUAACAAACGUAAAUGAUCAAAAUAGGAAUAUAAAUUUUUUUUUUGGAGAUACAAAGAAAGUAAAUUUUUAGAUUUCAAUCUAAUGUGGUUUUUUAUUUAUUAAUUACAAGAUUUUAAAAAAUAAAUGAAUAGUAAAUUAUAAUUAUUUAAAUUUUAUAGGAACAAGAAAUACCUGAAAAUAAACAUGACAAUCUAGAAUAAAAUUUUGAAAUGAGAAUAAAAAUUGAAAAGUAUUUAACAGCUAAAACUAGUAAAAUAUUAUAAAAAAAAAUUGGCAUUAGCAAAGUACGUCAUAUAUCAAUUCAACCGUAAUAUAAAUAUUCAAUUCAGUGCAUAUUCAAAUUAUUAUCCCCAAGAACAAAAUAAAUCGAAAAAAUGAGAGCAUGUCAAAAUCUUACUAUAGAAAUGAAAGCAUUCAAAAAAUAAUUAAUACCAUAAUGUAUGAAAAUGAUAUUAUUAUUAUUAUUUACAAUAAUAAAUAAUAAAUCAUUGAUCAACUAAUUUAAAAUAAAAAAAAAGGAGGUUAAGGAUUUAAAAAAUCAUAUUCCUAUAAGUACAAUUCUUUUAUUAGUUACAUAGACAUGCACCUUUUAUAAUCACUUACCAUUACACAAAAAAAUUGUUAAAUAAUAUAGAUACUUCAUAAGCAUAAAGUGUCAAACUAUAUACUUUUUCUUAGAUAAAAAAAAAACUAAAUUUCCUUCUAAGAAAUUUAAAGUUCAAAAUAAUGUUUUGUUAUUAGGUAUAAAUUUAUUUCCACUAUGAGAACAAAAUAUGGUGAUUAUUUGAUAAUGUAUACUAAUACAUAUUCAAGAAGAGGUUAUGUACACAAUCAUCAACUAUAUAAAUUUAAUUACAUAUUUACAUACAAACAAAGAAAUAUCAAUUUUUCUAUUAAGAGAAGAACUUACCAUGUAAUUUAUUUCCACCCAAAUUGAGAAAUUCUACCUUUUUCCAACUCUUCCUCAACAAUUGAUAGAUACUGCCUUCGAGAUAGUUCCCAUAUAGAUAUAAGUAUUGCAAAUUGGGUAGCUCACCAAGACCAAGUGGAAUCCUCCCAUGUAAUUGAUUGUAGCUUAUAUCAAUGGAUCCAAGGCUGCUAACAUUUAGAAGCCAUUCUGGAAACAUGGAAAUGAAUUGGUUCGACUUGAUGCUUAUAACACGAAGUGAAGUAAAGUUAACAAAGCUUGGAAAUGGAAUUGAGCCAGAUAGGCUACAACCAUCUAGAUGCAGCUCUGUUAAAAUUGGAAGUUUGUUUAGCACCUCCACCCAUUCACUUCCUACUGAUGAGAGGUUAACAUAAUCCAUACCAAGAUACUUCAAGGAAACAAGACUAGCCAUCCAUUCAAUAUUGCCAAUAGAUAAAUCAUUAAAAUAUUCAAAAUCAUCAUAACUCAGAUCUUCAUAAGAAAGAUCAAGAUACUGUAAAUUAGAAAGAUUUCCAAAAUUUGAAGGAAUUGUACCACUAAACUCAGCACCUGAUAAGUUUAGAUAUAGUAAAUUCUUCAAAGACCCGAAGAAUUGAGGAAUUGGCAUGCCUUUGAAUGAGUUGAAACUCAAAUCUAGAUAUUUCAAAGACUCGAGUUUUGUCAAUGAAGGUCUAAUUUCUCCACUCAAGUUCAUAGAGCUCCAGUUCUCAUGUACAUUCUUACGAGGAUAAGGGUUAUGAAGAUCAAUGGAAAUGACAAUUCCUGUGUCUUUUUCACAAGUAAUUCCUUGCCAGUAGCAAUAAUUGCUUCCUUUCCAUGAUGAAAGUCGGUUGUUAGGAUCUUUGAGGCCAUUUUUGAAGUUAAUAAGAGUCUCUUGUUCAGAUUGAAUGUUGUUGCUGAUAUGGGUAUAACCAUUACAUGCAAGUUCCGUUGUUAUGAAAUAGAGAAUGGCUACAAUGAAACCAAGAAUUGAAAUUCUCUCCAUGUAAAUAUUCUAAGUUGAGCACCUGUAAAAAUUGAAUUCCAAUAUGUAGUCAGCAUUUUCUUGAAUUAAAUUAAAAUUUUAUUUUUGACAUCAAAAUGAAAAACUGAUAAAAUUUAAAAGAUAGUUGCAUCAACAUGAUGAACUUAUUUUAACCAACACAUUUAAGAAAUGUUACCAGUCUAAUAUAAUUUUAAAAGAUCUACUCAUGGCAUAUGUAAAUAUAUACUAAGAAAAACAGUAGUAAUCAUCUCAUAGAUAUGCAACCUUACUUUGAUUGGCGAGAACUGAAAUCACCUACAAGAGAGUUAGAAAGAUUAGAUAGAAAAACACAUUAAAAGUAGUUUAUCAAUAUUAGUCGAGUUCAACCUUACCUGAAACUUCUUUCUUGUUUUCCUUGUUUUUUCAAUUCAACUAAAAUAUAUAGAAGAUUGUUUAAAGUGAUGACAAUGAUAGCCUCACUUUCUUAUUUUCCUUGUUUUUUCAAUCAUAUUAAAUUCUAAUUGAGUGGAAAAUGACUCAGAGUUCUUACCUCCACCACAAAAACCAAGUGUCUUGAUUGAAAACCUUCACUUGAAGAUAAAAAAGAUGUGGAUUGAAAGACCAUGAGUUGGCACUAAGUCAAGGUCAAUAAGAUUAAAAUAAACAUUAAAAUUCAUCUAUGAGUAAAAAAAACUACACUUGUUUAAAUUUUGAAAGAUCUUAAUUGGGAAAAAUAAAAUAUGCAUAUCAAGGUGUUAAGAAUAAGUCAAGAGCUUAGAUCAUUCAACAUACAAAAAUAGUAUUGAAUUGAUGGGCUUAUUUGGUGGUAUAAUUUAGAAAUUUAUAGCACUAUUUGGCAUGUUUUAUCCCAAAAACAAAAUUUUAAAAUAAAGUUAAAUAGAGAACAACUUUAGGAAAAUAAAUAUAAUUUCUUCUCACUUGUUUUUAAAAACAAAAGGAAAACAUAAAAAAAUAAAAUAAAUAAAUACAAUCUCUUUCUUCUUUCAUUUUUUCUUUACCAACCAAUGAUAAAAAAUCAUCAAAUAUGAUCUUUCUCUUAAUUAUACGUAUUUUUUUUUUUAUUUUCUUUAACUUCUCUAAUUUUUUUAUUAGGCAUAUAGAUUUUGAAUCAAAUAAUACUUAAAAUAAUUUGAAACUCAAAAUCAAUUUAAUUAAUACUAAAUUGUCAUCAAACUUAAAAGUUAAUUUAAUUAAUACAAAAAAAGUCAUGAACCAAAAUUUAUCAUGGAUGACUUUUUUAGUUUCUUAUUACAACACAUAACUAUAUUUUUCUGAAUUUUUUGCUAGAAAAAUAAAUUAAAUCUAGCAAAACUUAAUGUUUCAAUCCUUUAAUGAAUCUAAUAAUUUUUAGAAAUACUUUCAAAUUCACAUAUNNNNNNNNNNNNNNNNNNNNNNNNNNNNNNNNNNNNNNNNNNNNNNNNNNNNNNNNNNNNNNNNNNNNNNNNNNNNNNNNNNNNNNNNNNNNNNNNNNNNNNNNNNNNNNNNNNNNNNNNNNNNNNNNNNNNNNNNNNNNNNNNNNNNNNNNNNNNNNNNNNNNNNNNNNNNNNNNNNNNNNNNNNNNNNNNNNNNNNNNNNNNNNNNNNNNNNNNNNNNNNNNNNNNNNNNNNNNNNNNNNNNNNNNNNNNNNNNNNNNNNNNNNNNNNNNNNNNNNNNNNNNNNNNNNNNNNNNNNNNNNNNNNNNNNNNNNNNNNNNNNNNNNNNNNNNNNNNNNNNNNNNNNNNNNNNNNNNNNNNNNNNNNNNNNNNNNNNNNNNNNNNNNNNNNNNNNNNNNNNNNNNNNNNNNNNNNNNNNNNNNNNNNNNNNNNNNNNNNNNNNNNNNNNNNNNNNNNNNNNNNNNNNNNNNNNNNNNNNNNNNNNNNNNNNNNNNNNNNNNNNNNNNNNNNNNNNNNNNNNNNNNNNNNNNNNNNNNNNNNNNNNNNNNNNNNNNNNNNNNNNNNNNNNNNNNNNNNNNNNNNNNNNNNNNNNNNNNNNNNNNNNNNNNNNNNNNNNNNNNNNNNNNNNNNNNNNNNNNNNNNNNNNNNNNNNNNNNNNNNNNNNNNNNNNNNNNNNNNNNNNNNNNNACAUUCAAGUAAAACAUCCUUUAAAAUGAAAAAAAAAAAAUAGUUUGUAUCUUUUUCAUGACCCAUUAAUCUUGUAAGAAUUAUAGAUCACGUUGUUUGAUCAUGAUCGAUGAUUAACAAACUUUAUUCUCUAUGUAGUGUUGACUAUGUUAUCAAGUCAAAAAGCUAUGCCGUGUUCAAGUAACACAUCUUCCAAAAUUUUAAAAAUAUAAUAAGAUAAAAUAAAAUAAAGGCCUUGACUCAAUUCUUUUUAUUAUGAAGGUCAUUCUUCACCUAAAAAAUAAGGUUAACAACUUUGCAUCUAAUUAUAAUAUAGGAUAAAAAGAAGUGUUUAAUAGUGAUCAAAACACUGAUUUUAUAUCAUUAUACAAAAUUAAGGGAAAUAAUCAACUAGUCAAGAAAUGAAUUGAUUAAUUGUUACCUUUACCAAAAUGCCUUAUUAUAUAUUAUAGCUUUUCUUUAAAUAAAAUUAAAAGAAAAUUGUCAAAUAGCACCAUAAUAAAGGGAAAAUUGAUCUUAGUCCACAUUACUACUUUUGUUUAAACAAAAUUAAAAUAAAUUUUGUGAAAUAUAUCAAUAAAAAAGGAAAAAUACUUGCAUGAAAAGAUAGAAUUUUUUUUUUUUUUUUUUAAAGCAAAAUGUUACUAAAUAAAGGGAAAAUACUUGUAUAAACUAGUUUAUCUAAAAUUAGACCUUGACUUAGUAUUUAAUAAAUAUAGGAGAACAAAUAUAUAUGACAACCAUACCAUUAAUUUUAUCUUAAUGUAUAAAAAUAAAGAUAACUAUUGGAUAGCCAAAAAUAAUAAUAAAAUUAAAUAUUUAUUAUCCCUAAUUGUAAAUUAUGAAAACAUUGAAAAGUUAUUUUAAAUCCAAAUAUGUCAAAAUAACAUCAUUAAUAUAAUUGCUUUCAAUUCAUUUUUACACACACAUAGUAGAUUAAACAUUAUAUCUAUCUUGCAAUUUAAGUAAUCACUUUUGACUUCAAAGGAAAAUGAUAUUAGAAAAUAAUAUGAUUCAACCCAAAAACUUAAUUUCUUUAAGUUCCAACUAAUGAGAAACAUACACAUGCGAUAACCUUAUUACAAUAGAUUAGUUUCUUCCAAUUUUUUUUUUUUAAUUUUUUAUUAUUCAAAUAUCUAAUAACCUAAUUUGCCUAAAAUUAAUUAUGACAAUGAUUAACCAUCUAAAAUCAAAUCAUAAUGUCCAUUUUUUUCUUGAUCAUAAUCCACAAUAAAGAAUAUUUAUUUUGAAUGAAGUGUAGACCACAUUGUAAAGUUUGUCAAUUCAAAUAGUCAUAUGGAUAACAAAUAACUAUUUUAAAAUCAUAUUAGAAUAGUUUGUAUUGUUAUAUGACCCAUCAAUUUUGUAUGAAGUGGAGACCACGUGUUUGACUAUGACCGAUGAUAAUGGAAUUUUAUUCUCUAUGUAGUAUUGAUCAGGUUAUCAAGUCAAAAAGUUAAAUUGUGCUCAAGUAAAACAUCCUUUAAAAUUUAAAAUAAAAAAUAAAAAAUCAAAAGACCUUGACUCGUUCAAAAUUAUGGUUUUGAAAGUUGGAAGUAAAAAUGGAGAAAGGAAAACCAAGAAAAAAAGGCCCAUAUAUUAGGCCUAGAAAUUAGGCCCUUGUAGAAAGGAAAAAAAGAUUUUCGAAAAAGGAAAAUUAAAUAAAAUAAAAAUUCAAAUGAGCCAAAAGUUGUCUAGAAAAUGGGCCGAAAUAGGGGCCAAAUAAUAAUAAUAAUAAUAAUAAUAAUAAUAAUAAUAACCAUACAUCCAUAUUGAAGGUGAUAUAUUUUGAAACAUUCAAGUCCAUGUAAGAUAGUAAUAGAUAAGAUGAUAAUAGCCUUACAACCAUAUUGAAGGGUGAUAUCUUUUGAAACAUUCAAGAUCUUACAACAUUGAAGUCAAUGAAAAAUGUUGUCCACACAAGAUGAUAAUAGAUAAGUUUAAAUAAUAAUAAUAAUAAUAAUAAUAAUAAUAAUAAAAUAAUAAUAAAAACCUUACAACCAUAUCGGAGGGUGAUGCUUUUUGAAACAUUCAAGUCCACACAAGAUGAUAAUAACUUUACAACCAUAUUAAAGGAUGAUAUCUUACAAAACAUUCAAGACCUUACAACCGCAUUGAAAUAUUUUAGACCUUACAACAUUCAAGUCUAUGAAAAAUGUUGUCCACACAAAAUGGUAAUGGAUAAGUUUAAUAUUCUCAAAUUAUUAUAAAUCAAGCAAAGUCUAGCUUGGCCAAUAAUAUUAUAAACUUAAAAAUUAAUUAUCUACAAUUAUAAAUUAUUUAAAGUUAUUUUGAAUCCAAAUAUGUCAAGUAGCGUCAUUAUUAUAAUUGCAUCCAAUUUGUUUUCCUAUACACACAUAAUAGAUUAAACACUAUAUUUGUAUUGCAACUUAAGUAAUCACUUUUUACUUCGAAGAAAAUUGUGUUAGAAAAUAAUAAGAUCCAAACCACAACUUAAUUCCUGAAGUCCCAACUAAUGAGAAAUAUACACAUGAUAUAAUCUUAUGAUAAUAGAUUAGUUCCAUCCAAUUAUUUUUUAAUAUAUCAAUAUCUAAUUACAUAAUUUGUCUAGAUUUAAUCAUGAAUAACGAAUAACCAUUUAAAAUCAAAUCAUAAUAGUCCAUUCCUCCGGACCCACAACUAGCUCCUCCCCACUUCUUCCAAAGUCUUCACAAAAGAUUCUUAUUUCCACCUGGGAAUCUUUUAUUAAAUUUUUAAUUCUAUAACCCAUAAAAACUUAACAAAUAAAUACAAUUUUAUAGAUUUAUAAUAUAUAUAUAUAUAUAUGUUCACUAAAACAUUACCAUCUUUUUAACAAAAAAAAAAACAUAAUUUGUAUUUUUAUUAUAUAUGAAAUUUAUCAUUACAUUAUUUAUUGAAACAAUUAUCAUCCUUUAUUUUGUAUUUAUUUCUUAUAAUUUAGUUUUUUUUUUGAAGUAAAACAAAAUUGGUGUGAAUUUUUAAAAUAUUAUAAUUUAUAGAUAAAUUUUUUCAAAUAUUAAUAUUCAUUUUUAAUGAAAAAAUAUAGUUCAAAUGUUUAUCUAAAAAUUAACAAUUUCACAAAAUUUUAAUAAAAUAUUAAAAAAAAAAUCCACGGGAUUUGUUUUCUUUCAUGGUUUUAUCUAUUAUCUCAUAUUAUCCUUAGAAAAAUGAAUUUAUAUUAAAAAAUAUUAGUUGAUAAGAUAACAACAAAUCAAUUUACUACAUAACAUAAAUUAAUAAAACCACUAUGAUAUUUUAAACACUAGUGAUUUGUUUCUUCAAAAUUAUUUUUGACAAAUUAUCCAAAAGUCUACAUUUUUUUUAAAUAACCAAAAUGUUAAGGUUCAAUAAUAUUUUCUUAAGGUUAUUUCUUGAAAUUAAUUUUCUAGAUAGAAAGAAGGUUUUCUAUUAUUUUUUAAGUAAUCACUUUUGACUUCAAAGGAAAAUGAUAUUAGAAAAUAAUAUGAUCCAACCCACAAACUUAAUUCCUUUAAGUUUCAACUAACGAGAAACAUACACAUGCAAUAACCUUAUUAUGAUAUAUUAGUUUCUUCCAAUUUUUUUUUAUACAAAUAUCUAAUAACUUAAUUUGCCUAGAUUUAAUCAUGGACAAUGAUUAACCAUCUAAAAUCAAAUCAUAAUGUUCAUUUUUUUCUUGAUCAUAAUCCACAAUAAAGAAUAUUUAUUUUGAAUGAAGUGUAGACCACGUUGUAAAGUUUGUCAAGUCAAAUAGUCAUAUGUAUAAUAAAUAACUAUUUGAAAAUCAUAUUAGAAUAGUUUGUAUUUUUAUAUGACCCAUCAAUUUUGUAUGAAGUAUAGACUACGUUGUUUGACUAUGACGGAUGAUAAUGAAAUUUUAUUCUCUAUGUAGUAUUGAUCACGUUAUCAAGUCAAAAAGUUAAAUCGUGCUUAAGUAAAACAUCCUUUAAAAUUAAAAAAAAAUCAAAAAUAAAAAAACCUUGACUUGUUCAAAAUUAUAGGUUUUGAAAGUUGGAAGUAAAAAUGAAGAAGGAAAAACCAAGAAAAAAAAAGGCUCAUAUAUUGGGCCCAGAAAUUAGGCCCUUGUAGAAAGGGAAAAAAGGUUUUAGAAAAAGGAAAAUUUAAUAAAAUAAAAAUUCAUGGCCAAAAGUUGCCUAGAAAAUGGGCCGAAAUAGGGGCCAAAUAAUAAUAAUAAUAACCAUACAUCAAUAAUGAAGGUGAUAUCUUUUGAAACAUUCAAGUCCACAUAAGAUAGUAAUAGAUAAGAUGAUAAUAGCCUUACAACGAUCUUUUGAAACAUUCAAGUCAAUGAAAAAUGUUGUCCACACAAGAUGAUAAUAGAUAAGUUUAAAUAAUAAUAAUAAUAAUAAUAAUAAUAAAACCUUACAACCAUAUUGGAGGGUGAUACUUUUUGAAACAUUCAAGUCUACACAAGAUGAUAAUAACUUUACAAUCAUAUUAAAGGAUGAUAUCUUUCAAAACAUUCAAGACCUUAAAACCACAUUGAAAUAUUUUAAACCUUACAACAUUCAAGUCUAUGAAAAAUGUUGUCCACACAAAAUGGUAGUAGAUAAGUUUAAUAUUCUCAAAUUAUUAUAAAUCAAGCAGGUCUAGCUUGCCAAUAAUAUUAUAAACUUAAAAAUUAAUUAUCUACAAUUAUAAAUUAGUUAAAGUUAUUUUGAAUCCAAACAUGUCAAGUAGCACCAUUAUUAUAAUUGCAUCUAAUUUAUUUUCCUAUACACACAUAAUAGAAAAUAAUAAGAUCCAAAUCACAACUUAAUUCCUUAAGUCCAUAUUAACAAGAAACAUACAAAUAUCUAAUUACAUAAUUUGUCUAGAUUUAAUCAUGGACAAUGAAUAACCAUUUAAAAUCAAAUCAUAAUUGUCCAUUCCUUCGGACCCACAACUAGCUCCUCUCCACUUCUUAUAAAGUCUUCAUAAAAGAUUCCUACUUCCACCUGGGAGUAUUUUCUUAAAUUUUUAAUUCUAUAAUGCUUUCUCAUUGCAAAAUUAGGGUCUUUUUAAUUUUUAAUUCUAUAACCCAUAAAAACUUAAUAAAUAAAUACAAUUUUAUAGAUUUAUAAUAUAUAUAUAUAUAUAUAUAUAUAUAUAUGUUCACUAAAACAUUACCAUCUUUUUAACAAAAAAAAAAACAUAAUUUGUAUUUUUAUUAUAUAUGAAAUUUAUCAUUACAUUAUUUAUUGAAACAAUUAUCAUCCUUUAUUUUGUAUUUAUUUCUUAUAAUUUAGUUUUUUUUUUUGAAGUAAAACAAAAUUGGUGUGAAUUUUUAAAAUAUUAUAAUUUAUAGAUAAAUUUUUUCAAAUAUUAAUAUUCAUUUUUAAUGAAAAAAUAUAGUUCAAAUGUUUAUCUAAAAAUUAACAAUUUCACAAACUUUUAAUAAAAUAUUUAAAAAAAAAAGUCCAUGGGAUUUGUUUUCUUUCAUGGUUUUAUCUAUUAUCUCAUAUUAUCCUUAGAAAAAUGAAUUUAUAUUAAAAAAUAUUAGUUGAUAAGAUAACAACAAAUCAAUUUACUACAUAACAUAAAUUAAUAAAACCACUAUGAUAUUUUAAACACUAGUGAUUUUUUUUUUUUCAAAAUUAUUUUUGAAAAAUUAUCCAAAAGUCUACAUUUUUUUUUAAAAUAACCAAAAUGUUAAGGUUCAAUCAUAUUUUCUUAAAGUUAUUUUUUAAAAUUAAUUUUCUAGAUAAAAAAUUAAGUAAUCACUUUUGACUUCAAAGGAAAAUGAUAUUAGAAAAUAAUAUGAUCUAACCCACAAACUUAAUUCCUUUAAGUUCCAACUAAUGAGAAACAUAACAUGCAAUAACCUUAUGAUAGAUUAGUUUCUUCCAAUUUUUUUUUAUACAAAUAUCUAAUAACUUAAUUUGCCUAGAUUUAAUCAUGGACAAUGAUUAACCAUCUAAAAUCAAAUCAUAAUAAUCCAUUUUUUUCUUGAUCAUAAUCCACAAUAAAGAAUAUUUAUUUUGAAUGAAGUGUAGACCACGUUGUAAAGUUUGUCAAGUCAAAUAGUCACAUCGAUAAUAAAUAACCAUUUUAAAAUCAUAUUAGAAUAGUUUGUAUUUUUUUUAUGACCCAUCAAUUUUGUAUGCAGUGUACACUACUUUAUUUGAUUAUGACUGAUAAUAAUGAAAUUUUAUUCUCUAUCUAGUAUUGAUCACGUUAUUAAGUCAAAAAGAUAAAUCGUGCUCAAGUAAACAUCCUUUAAAAUAAAAAAAAUUAAAAAUCAAAAGACCUUGACUCGUUCAAAAUUAUGGGUUUUGAAGGUUGGAAGUUAAAAUGGAGAUGAAAAAACCAAGAAAAAAGGCCCAUAUAGUUGGCCCAUAAAUUAGGCCCUUGCAAAGAGAAAAAAAAAAGUUUCAGAGAAAAGAAAAUUAAAUAAAAUAAAAAUUGAAAUGGCCCAAAAGUUGCCUAGAAAAUGGGCUGAAAUAGGGGCCAGAAAACCGUCCCUAUAAGAGAAAAUUUUUUAUUAUACAAAUAUCUAAUAACUUUAUUUGCCUAGAUUUAAUCAUGGAUAAUGAUUAACCAUCUAAAAUCAAAUCAUAAUAAUCCAUAUUUUUCUUGAUCAUAAUCCACAAUAAAGAAUAUUUUGUUUUUUUGAAUGAAGUGUAGACCACGUUAUAAAGUUUGUCAAGUCAAAUAGUCAUAUCGAUAAUAAAUAAUCAUUUUAAAAUCAUAUUAGAAUAGUUUGUAUUUUUUUUAUGACCCGUCAAUUUUGUAUGCUGUGUAGACUACGUUGUUUGAUUAUGAUUGAUAAUAAUGAAACUUUAUUCUCUAUGUAAUAUUGAUCAUGUUAUCAAGUCAAAAAGAUAAAUCGUGGUCAAGUAAAACAUCCUUUAAAAUUUAAAAAAUUAAAAAUCAAAAGACCUUGACUCAUUCAAAAUUAUGGGUUUUGAAGGUUGGAAGUUAAAAUGGAGACGGAAAAACCAAGAAAAAAGGCCCAUAUAGUUGGCCCAUAAAUUAGGCCCUUGCAAAGAGAAAAAAAAAAGUUUUAGAGAAAAGAAAAUUAAAUAAAAUAAAAAUUGAAAUGGCCCAAAAGUUGCCUAGAAAAUGGGCUGAAAUAGGGGCCAGAAAACUGUCCCUAUAAGAGAAAAAAAUCUUCAUAAAAAUUAUGAGGCCCAAAAUUGGCCCAGAAGUUGGGCCCAGGGAUCUGACCCAUAAAAGGGCCAAAAAGGCUGGCUGGGAGGGGAUUAAAAAAAGGGCAAACUGGCCCAAAUUAGGCCCAGCCCAUUUUUAUUGGGUUGGGUAUGGUGGGGGUGGGCUUCGCUUGGGUGUGGGUGAGGGGAGGGUUGACUUAUGACACGGUGCCAUGUGGCAGCUCCAAUUGAGGUGCAAAACCCCACUUUUUAAGCCUAUAAUGUUGUCUUUAAGAUCAUUAUGAUUUCUGCUUAGCUCCUCAUGGUGCUUCAGCUCUACUGUAAAUAUAGGAACUAUACUAAGUAAGAAUGAUACAAAACAAUACAGAAAUAAAUUUUAAACAAGGGAGGCCCAAAUUUGGCCCAGAGAUGGGACCCAUAAGAGAGCCCAAAAUGCUAGCUGGUGGGGAAUACAAAAAUAAAAAAAUAAAUAAAAAGGGCCAAACUGGCCCAGCCCAGGGAAAGAGUUCAAUUAUUUUUUAAAUUAUUUGUAAUAAUAAAAUUAUUAUUAUUAAUUUAUUAAAAACUAUUUAUUUUUAAUUUAGUUAUAAUAAUAAAGUUUUUUAUUUAUUUGUAAUAUGAAUUGAAUUAAAUUAAAUUUAUAUUAUAUAAAUUCAAUUUACAAAAUCAAAAUAAAAAAUUAUUUUUAAAAACAACUUAUAUAAAAUCAACUUUUUGUUUUUUAUUAUUUGAAGAGUGUAUUUAAAAAUAGUUUACACAAAGGGAAUCAAAAUACCCUUCAAUGAUGAAUUGAAUCCCACUUAUAAGUGGAAAUUUAUUUAUUUGCUGGAAUCAUUUUUUAUUUCAUUCUCAUUGCAAACAUUAUAAUGAAUGAAUUCAACAUAUCAAACAUGAUAAUGGUAAAUAUAUUUUAAUAAAUCUAUAAAUUUUAAAACUUAACAAAUAAAUACCAUUUUAUAAAUUUUAAAAACUGAUAAUAGCGUAAUCAUGGGUUAUAAGUAUACUUUUCUUUGGUUAAAAGAGUUUUAUAUAAUAUAUAUAGUUAUAAUUAAAGUGCUUCAAAGUUAAAAGGCCUUCUAAAUACUCUUUUAGCUCCAAGGGUUGUUCUUUGUAAGGUUUGGAAUAAAUUUUUUGCUUAUAUAUUAACUUAUUAAUUUUCUUGCAAAAUAAAAGGAGUCUUCUUUUCUCAUUAAAAUAAUUUGAGUCAUUUUUCCUUCUCAUUACGCUACAACAAAUGUGGGCUUUUUCUAUGUACUAAUUUGUACUUAAAAAAGAGCAUUUCUGGGUUGUUGCUAUAAUCAUUUUUUACCAUAACAAAUGAAUUUUAUAGCCAAAAGAGGUAAAAUUUUGCCAUAACAUGUUAUUUUUCACCACAAAAUAAAACUUGUACCAACACAUCACUUUUUUCCACAAAACAAAUUCAUGGCAAAACUCAAAAUUCUCUAUGAACACAAAAUUCAUGGUAAAAGUUCACUACAAAAAAAUAUUUACGGUUAAUGAUUAAAUUCCACCAUAAAAAAAAAAAAAAAAAAAUUGUGGCAAAAGUUUAUUUUCAAUAAAUUUUUUUUUCUAAUAGUACUAAAUUGCUAUCUAAAGAGCAUCACUGAUCAUUCUGCCAUUGUUGUCCCUUAAUGCUAAAAUACAUAAUGAAUCACCAACUUGACAUAAAUUAGGAUCAAUAUAAAAACAAAACAAAACAAAAAAAAAACCAAAAGAUGAACUUAGCUAAAAAAAAUUAAAGCCUAUAAAUUCACACAAAGAAUAUUAAUAAUUUAAUAAUUAAAUAUCAACAUUACAUCCUUUAAUACACUAAGCUUAGUAUGAAGUAUGAAGUAUGAAAUGCCAUGAGAGAUUCAUCACAAAAUAUACUUCAAAUCAAUUUGCAUACUCUCUAAUGGUAGCAUGUUAUCCUCUAGUUCAUUAUUUUCAUUAAUUGACACAGAAUCAGUAGAAAUAGAAUCAGAUUUUACUUGAAACCCUAAAACAGUGCUGACCUCAAAUUACUGGUUGUUUGGAUCAACAAACUUGAGCAUGAGGUCAUUAUGUCCAGACUUUGAAUCCUCCUCCGGCUAGGGCUUCGAAGCCCCACUCUCCUUCUAGGUUUCAUUGUUUUGCUCCUCUUGCCCACUUUGUGCUAUUUCAGAUACCACAUUCUCACUAACCAUAGUGCUAGUUUCGACAAAAAUUACAUUUCCUGAAUAAAAUUUCAUUGAAAGAAUAUUAAAUUCUAUUAAUCACGCAAAGUAAAAAAUAAGAUAGGUGCACUACUUGAACCUGCUAAGACAUCAAAUUUUCUAUUAUAAGCACUUGACAUUAGUUGAGAGGGAAUUUUCAUUUUCAGAAAACCAGAAGAAAAUACGACACACAAUCAUCAAAAUUUCUCCCCCUAUCAAUUUCCUCUCGGUUUUCUCUACAACCAAACAAAGGGUAAGGGUUUUUGAAAAUUUCCUCUUCCAGAUUCUUCUUCUAAUCAUCAACACCGUCCAUUUCUAUAAAUUUCAGUCAAAUAUACAGAUAAUAUUAGACGCUUCCAUGCUGAUAGAGAGAGAAAGUAGAAAUUGUAAAAUUUUAAAAUCCAUCAACACUGCUAGAAACUUCCAAGCAAAUCAACAGUAACAGUGGUGACAAAAUUGUAUUUUUAUACUAAUACAAGUGCUAGGACUAGGCGGCUUCAAUAUCACUCUACAAAAAUUCAAAAUUCAAAUUGAAUUUUCUUUCAUUUUCCUAAACCUUCACAGCAACCAAACGCGAGUUGGGGCUAAACAUCUCCACACCACACCCUAAAAACUCCAAACAUCAAGAAUAUGAGACAAUCGACAAUGAAAACUCUAAAUAUCCAAAGAGAAAAAACAGAGAAUUGAAGAGAGAGUUAGAGACCUAGAUAGGUUGAUUGAGUUGAGAGAGGUGAUCAGAGGAGAGGUGAGGCAAGAGGCCAAGCAGUGCGGAGAGAGCCAUCUCCGAGUGCUUAGGAUGAAUCCGUCGCAUCAAUCCCAAAGUCGCCUCCAUUUUAUUCAAAAAAAGGAUUCGGUUAAGC